rnacentral:rRNA from 1 species
UGGGGAAUCUUGCACAAUGGGGGAAACCCUGAUGCAGCGACGCCGCGUGAGCGAUGAAGCCCUUCGGGGUGUAAAGCUCUUUCGGCAGGAACGAUUAUGACGGUACCUGCAGAAGAAGCUGCGGCUAACUACGUGCCAGCAGCCGCGGUAAUACGUAGGCAGCGAGCGUUGUUCGGAGUUACUGGGCGUAAAGAGUAUGUAGGCGGUUGCGUAAGUUCGGUGUGAAAUCUCCCGGCUUAACUGGGAGGGUGCGCCGAAAACUGCGUGGCUAGAGUGCGGGAGAGGAGAGCGGAAUUCCUGGUGUAGCGGUGAAAUGCGUAGAUAUCAGGAGGAACACCGGCGGUGUAGACGGCUCUCUGGACCGUUACUGACGCUGAGAUACGAAAGCGUGGGUAGCAAACA